ACAUUGGUGGUUCAGCGGUAGAGUGCUCGGCUGUCGCGCGGGCGAACCGGGUUUUAUUCCCGACCAAUGUA
rnacentral:tRNA from 1 species